rnacentral:rRNA from 1 species
UACGGGGGGUGCGAGCGUUGUCCGGAAUCACUGGGCGUAAAGGGCGCGUAGGUGGCCUGCUAAGCGUGCGGUGAAAGCUCGGGGCUCAACCCCGAGUCGGCCGUGCGAACUGGUGGGCUUGAGCACUGUAGAGGCAGGCGGAAUUCCGGGUGUAGCGGUGGAAUGCGUAGAGAUCCGGAAGAACACCGGUGGCGAAGGCGGCCUGCUGGGCAGUAGCUGACACUGAGGCGCGACAGCGUGGGGAGCAAACAGG